rnacentral:lncRNA from 1 species
GUUUUGUUCAAUUAUCCUUCAUAAUAUCCUAAUGUAAUUAAUGAAAGUAAAAUUUUUUGAGACAUUUUUUAUUGUUUAUGUGUGUUACUUGAUUUUUCGAUCAUUUUAAGGAAUUUCUGUAAUAUUGGGUCAUUUUCGAGAAAUUUGAGAAGAAGUAAAGUGUUGUUCUAUAAUUCGUCACGAUAUUGUAAGGUCAAGUGUGCAAGUUAAGAUUUUUUGAGGUGCUUUUAUUUCUUAUUUGUGUUUCUCUAUUUUUUGGCCAUUUUGGAGCUUUUACGUAAUACUCGGUCAUUUUCGGGCAGUUACAAAGAGAAGUAAAUUUUUUUUUGUUAUUCUUCAUGAUAUUCAAAAUUAAUUGUUGCAAGUCGGAAAUUUUUUGAGGCUUCUGUAUUGUUGAUGUGUGUUUCUUGAUUUUUAUAUCAUUAUAGGUUAUUUCCGUAAUUAUUGGCUAUAUUCGAGUAGCUACAACCAUAAGUAAAGUUCUUUUCAGUCAUUCAUCACGAUAUUCUAAGGUAAUGGGUGCAAGUCAAAAAAACAUAAAGGCAUUUGUCAAUUACUUAUGUCUAUUUCUUGAUUUUUGGUUAUUUUGGGACAUUUCUGUAAUAUUCGGUAAUUUUUGAGCAAUUACAAAAAGAAGAAAAAUUUUAUUCUGUCAUUCGUCACCAUAUUCUUAGGUCAUUUGUGAAAAUUGACAUUUUCUUGAGGCUUUUUUGAAAUAUUUAUCUGUUUCAUGGAUUUUUUGUCAUUUUGGGGCAUUUAUAUGAUAUUCGGUCAUUUUUGGGUAGUUACGAAAAGAAGUGAAGACUUAUUCUGUUAUUUGUUACAAUAUUCUAUGGUCAUUGGUCUAAUGCAAAAUAUUUUUGUGGCGUAUUAUGUAUUGUUUGUAUGUGUUACUUGAAUUUUCAGUUAUUUUUUGAAAGAUGUUUAUUAUAUAAUUCUUCAUGAUAUUCAAAGGCCACUGGUGCAAGUCAAAAAAUUUUAAAACAUUUUUGUAUUUUUAUGUCUGUUUAUUGAUUCUUAGGGUAUGUUCUGGCAUUUAUGUAAUAGUUGUCUAUUUUCAGGCAGUAAGGAAAAGAAGUAAUGUUUUCUUCAUUUAUUCAUCACGAUAUUCUAAGGAUUGAUACAUGUUAAAAAAUUUGGAGGAGUAUUUUUUUGGUAUUGUUUAUGUGUGUUUCAUGAUUUUACAGCCAUUUUGGUUCAUUUACGUUAUAUUCGGUCAUUUUCAUGCAGUUAAGAAAUGAAGUAAAGUUUUGUUAUGUUAAUUGUCAUGACAUUCUAAGGACAUUGGUGCAAAUGAAAAAAUAUUUGAGACGUUUUAUAAAUUUUUUAUCUGCAUUCUUAAUUUUUUUGCUAUUUUUGGGGAUGACCAUAAUAUUCGGUAAUUUUUAGGCAGUUAUGAAAAGAUAUAAACUUUUGUGAUAGCAUUCGUCACGAUAUUCUAAGGUCAUUAUUGCAUUUUUAAAAAAAUUGAGCAGUUUUUGGUAUUGUUGAUGUGUGCUUCUUUAUUUUUCAACCAUAUUGGGGCAUUUACUUAAUAUUCAACCAUUUUUGCACAUUUUGGAAAAGAAGUGAAGUUCUAUUUUUUUAUUUGGCAUGAUGUUCUAAAGUCAUUGGUUAGGGCCGUUGAAGUUUAGAAGGCCAUUUGCAAGAAUACUUGGAUUUCCCAAGUCAUUGGAAGGUCCUCUAGUUUGAGGAUGGUGCCAAAUUUUCUACCUUAGUAGCUUUCAUUUUGUUCUAAGACAUUCACUUCUUUCCUAUUCUUGAAGAUAUUGUUGUAAGCCCUAUAUGGCAUUAUGAAUUUGUAUUGAGGGAUAUGCCUGAAUUUUAUACUUCCAUUUAGAUUGUUUGAUGUUAGACGACUUUAUUAGACUAAAUUCUUACGUAUUGAUUAUGUUGACUAAACGAGAAGAUUAUGUAAGCUUCCUAUGAUAGGAGUCAAAGUAAACUUCAUAUAUCGUAUGUGAGAGGUUUUGUAUACCUCAAUAUGUAUAAAGAUUUAAUAUUUCUGCAUUUUUGACCUAUGAAAUGUUAAUAAAACACCAAGGGCUUGUCUAAGUCCUCUCUGAGGAAGAAGACGCCAGUUACGUCUACGGGGUGCUCCCCGGUCAUGACAU